rnacentral:rRNA from 1 species
AGGUAAGCUACUAAGAGCGAAUGGUGGAUGCCUUGACUGGUAAAGGCGAUGAAGGACGUACUAGACUGCGAUAAGCUACGGGGAGCUGUCAAGAAGCUUUGAUCCGUAGAUUUCCGAAUGGGUCAACCCAAUGUAUAGAGAUAUACAUUACCUAUAUAGGAGCGAACGAGGGGAAUUGAAACAUCUUAGUACCCUCAGGAAAAGAAAUCAAUAGAGAUUGCGUCAGUAGCGGCGAGCGAAAGCGCAAGAGGGCAAACCCAGUGCUUGCACUGGGGGUUGUAGGACUGCAAUGUGCAAGAGGUAAGUUUAGCAGAACAUUCUGGAAAGUAUAACCAUAGAGGGUGAUAGUCCCGUAUGCGAAAAACAAACCUUAGCUAGCAGUAUCCUGAGUAGGGCGGGACACGAGGAAUCCUGUCUGAAUCCGGGUCGACCACGAUCCAACCCUAAAUACUAAUACCAGAUCGAUAGUGCACAAGUACCGUGAGGGAAAGGUGAAAAGAACUGAGGUGAUCAGAGUGAAAUAGAACCUGAAACCAUUUGCUUACAAUCAUUCAGAGCCCUAUGUAGCAAUACAGGGUGAUGGACUGCCUUUUGCAUAAUGAGCCUGCGAGUUGUGGUGUCUGGCAAGGUUAAGCAAACGCGAAGCCGUAGCGAAAGCGAGUCUGAAUAGGGCGCUUAGUCAGAUGCUGCAGACCCGAAACGAAGUGAUCUAUCCAUGAGCAAGUUGAAGCUAGUGUAAGAACUAGUGGAGGACUGAACCCAUAGGCGUUGAAAAGCCCCGGGAUGACUUGUGGAUAGGGGUGAAAGGCCAAUCAAACUUCGUGAUAGCUGGUUCUCUCCGAAAUAUAUUUAGGUAUAGCGUUGUGUCGUAAUAUAAGGGGGUAGAGCACUGAAUGGGCUAGGGCAUACACCAAUGUACCAAACCCUAUCAAACUCCGAAUACCUUAUAUGUAAUCACAGCAGUCAGGCGGCGAGUGAUAAAAUCCGUCGUCAAGAGGGAAACAACCCAGACUACCAGCUAAGGUCCCUAAAUCUUACUUAAGUGGAAAACGAUGUGAAGUUACUUAAACAACCAGGAGGUUGGCUUAGAAGCAGCCAUCCUUUAAAGAAAGCGUAAUAGCUCACUGGUCUAGUGAUUUUGCGCGGAAAAUAUAACGGGGCUAAAGUAAGUACCGAAGCUGUAGACUUAGUUUACUAAGUGGUAGGAGAGCGUUCUAUUUGCGUCGAAGGUAUACCGGUAAGGAGUGCUGGAGCGAAUAGAAGUGAGCAUGCAGGCAUGAGUAGCGAUAAUUAAUGUGAGAAUCAUUAACGCCGUAAACCCAAGGUUUCCUACGCGAUGCUCGUCAUCGUAGGGUUAGUCGGGUCCUAAGUCGAGUCCGAAAGGGGUAGACGAUGGCAAAUUGGUUAAUAUUCCAAUACCAACAUUAGUGUGCGAUGGAAGGACGCUUAGGGCUAAGGGGGCUAGCGGAUGGAAGUGCUAGUCUAAGGUCGUAGGAGGUUGUACAGGCAAAUCCGUAUAACAAUACUCCGAGAACUGAAAGGCUUUUUGAAGUCUUCGGAUGGAUAGAAGAACCCCUGAUGCCGUCGAGCCAAGAAAAGUUUCUAAGUUUAGCUAAUGUUGCCCGUACCGUAAACCGACACAGGUGGG